AUCGCUUUUCGGCCUUUUGGCUCAGAUCAAGUGUAGUAUCUGUUCUUAUCAGUUUAAUAUUUGAUACGUCCCCCAUCGGGGGACUACAUAUUAAAUGGAUUUUUGGAACAGGGAGUCGGAAAUGGGGCUUGCUCCGUCCGCUCCAAGCAUCGACCCGGUAUUGCAGUACCUCCGGGAACGGUGCAACACUU
rnacentral:snRNA from 8 species